rnacentral:lncRNA from 1 species
GCCAGAGAGUGGUGGAGUCACGUGAAAUCCGUUACAGAGUGUGGAGUAGGGUAGUUGCCAUUGUCGUGACUUGCCAGAGAGUUCGGAUCUAUCGACUGAAGCUCGACUGGGAUGUCUGAUGGAGUGGAUGGCUCUCUAUCUCAUCAUUUCAAGAGAAGCUUGGAAAUUUUUGAGGUUGCUGACGGAUCUACUAUUGUCGGAUGCCUAGAGCACUGAUGCUGCAGGCGGAAACCAUCUGCUGUAGAAACUCGGACGGGGACUUUCUAUUGGAGA